UUGGAUUUUUGUCCGGGAGGGGGUUGGGUGGGGUGGGAAUAUUUUACUACUAUUGGUCUAUGAUAUAUCAUGACAUAUAUGGGAAUGUCCCAAAUCCAAUUUAGUAAAUUGAUGGAUUGGCAUAUUUGAGUAUUCUGGACGUAAAAAUUCAGGUGCUUAGACCUUCUAUAUUGCAAGGAGGGAGUGCUUAGUUGAUGAAUGUCUGCACUUGGAAGCUUGCAGCAUGCCAAAUAUAAUAUGGCCAGUUAUUGUUGAUAGAUUGUAGUCACAGUUGUUAAAAGCAAAAAACUCUUAAGUGCCAAGGGCUUGAAAAACUUAGGGACAAGUUGCACAUGUUCUUAGGGGUUUCGCCCCCUAGACAAGGUAACCAGAGACAAAAUGUCUAUUAACUCAUAAUAAGAUAGGUGUGUGGUCAAGUGAAAUGCACAUCUUUGAAGUAAACUGCAUAAUAAUUUAUAUGAGAAAGUGUUAUGGCAUACAAUAUUAAGAAAACUUAAAAUGAAAUCUUAAUCGUAAUUGAACCUUAAAUGGGCUUUGUUGGACUUAAGAAGCAUAGAAAUUAAAUGGCAAAACUAAAAUCACGCUACUUCAAAGUUUUGUGAUUCACAUCUCUAGGCAGGCCAAGAUGAUAAGGAACUUUGUUAUUAUGUUGAGUUUACAAAUGCUCUUCUUUUUUUUUUUUUUUGGCCUUGAUUCUAUUUUAAACAUUCUUAACAGGGUCCAAGUGUGCACCCCUCAUUGUUGCAUU
rnacentral:misc_RNA from 1 species